AUUGAACGCUGGCGGCAGGCCUAACACAUGCAAGUCGAACGAGUGGCGGACGGGUGAGUAAUGUCUGGGAAACUGCCCGAUGGAGGGGGAUAACUACUGGAAACGGUAGCUAAUACCGCAUACCAUCGGAUGUGCCCAGAUGGGAUUAGCUAGUAGGUGGGGUAACGGCUCACCUAGGCGACGAUCCCUAGCUGGUCUGAGAGGAUGACCAGCCACACUGGAACUGAGACACGGACCAGAAUCCUACGGGAGGCAGCAGUGGGGAAUAUUGCACACUGGGCGCAAGCCUGAUGCAGCCAUGCCGCGUGUAUGAAGAAGGCCUUCGGGUUGUAAAGUACUUUCAGCGAGGAGGCGUUACUCGCAGAAGAAGCACCGGCGAACUCCGUGCCAGCCGCCGCGGUAAUAC
rnacentral:rRNA from 1 species